rnacentral:rRNA from 1 species
GACGAACGCUGGCGGCGUGCUUAACACAUGCAAGUCGAACGGUAAGGCCCUUCGGGGUACACGAGUGGCGAACGGGUGAGUAACACGUGGGUGAUCUGCCCUGCACUUCGGGAUAAGCCUGGGAAACUGGGUCUAAUACCGGAUAGGACCACUGCCUGCAUGGGUGGUGGAAAGCUUUUGCGGUGUGGGAUGGGCCCGCGGCCUAUCAGCUUGUUGGUGGGGUGAUGGCCUACCAAGGCGACGACGGGUAGCCGGCCUGAGAGGGUGACCGGCCACACUGGGACUGAGAUACGGCACAGACUCCUACGGGAGGCAGCAGUGGGGAAUAUUGCACAAUGGGCGCAAGCCUGAUGCAGCGACGCCGCGUGAGGGAUGACGGCCUUCGGGUUGUAAACCUCUUUCAGCACCGACGAAGCGCAAGUGACGGUAGGUGCAGAAGAAGGACCGGCCAACUACGUGCCAGCCGCCGCCGUAA